rnacentral:rRNA from 1 species
AUGUGUGGUAGUGGAACGGUCUGGAAAGUCCGACGGUACAGGGUGAUAGUCCCGUACACAAAAUCGCAUGUGUUGUGAACUCGAAGAGUAGGGCGGGACACGUGGUAUCCUGUCUGAAUAUGGGGGGACCAUCCUCCAAGGCUAAAUACUCCUGACUGACCGAUAGUGAACCAGUACCGUGAGGGAAAGGCGAAAAGAACCCCGGCGAGGGGAGUGAAAAAGAACCUGAAACCGUGUACGUACAAGCAGUGGGAGCCCUGAUUUAUCAGGGUGACUGCGUACCUUUUGUAUAAUGGGUCAGCGACUUAUAUUCUGUAGCAAGGUUAACCGUAUAGGGGAGCCGAAGGGAAACCGAGUCUUAACUGGGCGUUAAGUUGCAGGGUAUAGACCCGAAACCCGGUGAUCUAGCCAUGGGCAGGUUGAAGGUUGGGUAACACUAACUGGAGGACCGAACCGACUAAUGUUGAAAAAUUAGCGGAUGACUUGUGGCUGGGGGGGAAAGGCCAAUCAAACCGGGAGAUAGCUGGUUCUCCCCGAAAGCUAUUUAGGUAGCGCCUCGUGAACUCAUCUUCGGGGGUAGAGCACUGUUUCGGCUAGGGGGUCAUCCCGACUUACCAACCCGAUGCAAACUACGAAUACCGAAGAAUGUUAUCACGGGAGACACACGGCGGGUGCUAACGUCCGUCGUGAAGAGGGAAACAACCCAGACCGCCAGCUAAGGUCCCAAAGUCACAGUUAAGUGGGAAACGAUGUGGGAAGGCACAGACAGCCAGGAUGUUGGCUUAGAAGCAGCCAUCAUUUAAAGAAAGCGUAAUAGCUCACUGGUCGAGUCGGCCUGCGCGGAAGAUGUAACGGGGCUAAACUGUGCACCGAAGCUGCGGCAGCGACACUAUGUGUUGUUGGGUAGGGGAGCGUUCUGUAAGCCGUUGAAGGUGUCCUGUGAGGGGUGCUGGAGGUAUCAGAAGUGCGAAUGCUGACAUAAGUAACGAUAAUGCGGGUGAAAAACCCGCACGCCGGAAGACCAAGGGUUCCUGUCCAACGUUAAUCGGGGCAGGGUGAGUCGACCCCUAAGGCGAGGCCGAAAGGCGUAGUCGAUGGGAAACAGGUUAAUAUUCCUGUACUUGGUGUUACUGCGAAGGGGGGACGGAGAAGGCUAUGUUAGCCGGGCGACGGUUGUCCCGGUUUAAGCAUGUAGGCGGGAAGUUUAGGUAAAUCCGGACUUCUGUAUAACGCUGAGGUGUGAUGACGAGGCACUACGGUGCUGAAGUAACAAAUGCCCUGCUUCCAGGAAAAGCCUCUAAGCAUCAGGUAACAUCAAAUCGUACCCCAAACCGACACAGGUGGUCAGGUAGAGAAUACCAAGGCGCUUGAGAGAACUCGGGUGAAGGAACUAGGCAAAAUGGUGCCGUAACUUCGGGAGAAGGCACGCUGAUGGUAGGUGAAGCGACUUGCUCGUGGAGCUGAAAUCAGUCGAAGAUACCAGCUGGCUGCAACUGUUUAUUAAAAACACAGCACUGUGCAAACACGAAAGUGGACGUAUACGGUGUGACGCCUGCCCGGUGCCGGAAGGUUAAUUGAUGGGGUUAUCCGUAAGGAGAAGCUCUUGAUCGAAGCCCCGGUAAACGGCGGCCGUAACUAUAACGGUCCUAAGGUAGCGAAAUUCCUUGUCGGGUAAGUUCCGACCUGCACGAAUGGCGUAAUGAUGGCCAGGCUGUCUCCACCCGAGACUCAGUGAAAUUGAACUCGCUGUGAAGAUGCAGUGUACCCGCGGCAAGACGGAAAGACCCCGUGAACCUUUACUAUAGCUUGACACUGAACACUGGUCCUUGAUGUGUAGGAUAGGUGGGAGGCUUUGAAGUGUGGACGCCAGUCUGCAUGGAGCCAACCUUGAAAUACCACCCUUUAAUGGCUGGUGUUCUAACGUAGACCCGUAAUCCGGGUUGCGGACAGUGUCUGGUGGGUAGUUUGACUGGGGCGGUCUCCUCCUAAAGAGUAACGGAGGAGCACGAAGGUUAGCUAAUCCUGGUCGGACAUCAGGAGGUUAGUGCAAAGGCAUAAGCUAGCUUGACUGCGAGAGUGACGGCUCGAGCAGGUGCGAAAGCAGGUCUUAGUGAUCCGGUGGUUCUGAAUGGAAGGGCCAUCGCUCAACGGAUAAAAGGUACUCCGG